AUGAACGCUAGCGGCAGGCUUAAUACAUGCAAGUCGAGGGGCAGCACAGGUAGCAAUACCGGGUGGCGACCGGCAAACGGGUGCGGAACACGUACAGAACCUUCCUUUAAGCGGGGGAUAGCCCGGAGAAAUCCGGAUUAAUACUCCAUAGUAAUAUUGGGUGGCAUCACUUGAUAUUUAAAGAUUUAUCACUUAAAGAUGGCUGUGCGGCUGAUUAGGUAGUUGGUUGGGGUAACGGCCCACCAAGCCAGCGAUCAGUAACUGGUGUGAGAGCACGACCAGUCACACGGGCACUGAGACACGGGCCCGACUCCUACGGGAGCAGCAGUAAGGAAUAUUGGUCAAUGGAGGCAACUCUGAACCAGCCAUGCCGCGUGAAGGAUGAAGGUCCUCUGG
rnacentral:rRNA from 1 species